rnacentral:tRNA from 1 species
UUAAAAGUAAGUUAAGUUAAAAAAACUGUAGAUCUGUGGAGUCUACAAUCCAUUUUGGCUUUUGAG